rnacentral:tRNA from 1 species
GCGCCGGUGGUGAAAUAGCGUAGAGCAUUCCCAUUCGUUAGGAGGAUGUGCGGGUUCGAGUCCCGCUUGGCGCU